UUUUCAAGCUCUACAUCUCUUCCAUAUUAAUCUGUCGUAAGAAACAUCAUCUAAAUUUGUCACAGUGAAUAAAGUUCAUCUUCAAGACCAGCAGUUUCAUCUGUGAGAUUCAGAUCAACUCAAAGAUAGAGUUCCUCCCCUAAAAACAAUUUCUAAAAUUGUAUUCUUGUAUACAACUUUGCUUUAUGAUAUACAUUAUAUUAUGUAAGCAAUAAG